rnacentral:rRNA from 1 species
UCCUGCGGCUUAACCGUAGAAUUGCCAUUGAUACUGUUGUCCUUGAGUGUAGUUGAGGUAGGCGGAAUAUGUAAUGUAGCGGUGAAAUGCAUAGAUAUUACAUAGAACACCAAUUGCGAAGGCAGCUUACUAAACUAUUACUGACGCUGAGGCACGAAAGCGUGGGGAGCAAACAGGAUUAGAUACCCUGGUAGUCCACGCUGUAAACGAUGAUCACUCGUUGUUGGCAAUACACCGUCAGCGACUGAGCGAAAGCAUUAAGUGAUCCACCUGGGGAGUACGGUCGCAAGAUUGAAACUCAAAGGAAUUGACGGGGGCCCGCACAAGCGGAGGAACAUGUGGUUUAAUUCGAUGAUACGCGAGGAACCUUACCUGGGCUUAAAUGCAAAACGACGCCCCGGGAAACCGGGGUUCCCUUCGGGGCGAAUUGCAAGGUGCUGCAUGGCUGUCGUCGGCUCGUGCCGUGAGGUGUCGGGUUAAGUCCCAUAACGAGCGCAACCCCUAUCGUUAGUUGCCAGCGGGUAAUGCCGGGGACUCUAACGAAACUGCCAGUGUAAACUGCGAGGAAGGUGGGGAUGACGUCAAGUCAGCACGGCCCUUAUGUCCAGGGCUACACACGUGUUACAAUGGCCGGUACAGAGGGCAGCUACCUGGAGACAGGAUGCAAAUCUCCAAAACCGGUCUCAGUUCGGAUCGAAGUCUGCAACUCGACUUCGUGAAGGUGGAU